rnacentral:rRNA from 1 species
GAUGAACGCUGGCGGCGUGCCUAAUACAUGCAAGUCGAGCGAACAGACGAGGAGCUUGCUCCUCUGACGUUAGCGGCGGACGGGUGAGUAACACGUGGAUAACCUACCUAUAAGACUGGGAUAACUUCGGGAAACCGGAGCUAAUACCGGAUAAUAUAUUGAACCGCAUGGUUCAAUAGUGAAAUACGGUUUUGCUGUCGCUUAUAGAUGGAUCCGCGCCGCAUUAGCUAGUUGGUAAGGUAACGGCUUACCAAGGCAACGAUGCGUAGCCGACCUGAGAGGGUGAUCGGCCACACUGGAACUGAGACACGGUCCAGACUCCUACGGGAGGCAGCAGUAGGGAAUCUUCCGCAAUGGGCGAAAGCCUGACGGAGCAACGCCGCGUGAGUGAUGAAGGUCUUCGGAUCGUAAAACUCUGUUAUUAGGGAAGAACAAAUGUGUAAGUAACUAUGCACGUCUUGACGGUACCUAAUCAGAAAGCCACGGCUAACUACGUG